rnacentral:rRNA from 1 species
UACGUAGGGGGCUAGCGUUGCUCGGAAUCACUGGGCGUAAAGCGCACGUAGGCGGCUUUUUAAGUCAGGGGUGAAAUCCUGGAGCUCAACUCCAGAACUGCCUUUGAUACUGGGAAGCUUGAGUCCGGGAGAGGUGAGUGGAACUCCGAGUGUAGAGGUGAAAUUCGUAGAUAUUCGGAAGAACACCAGUGGCGAAGGCGGCUCACUGGCCCGGUACUGACGCUGAGACGCGAAAGCGUGGGGAGCGAACAGG